UAAAAAAUUCAAAAAUAAAAGCCAAAUUAUAUUUAAAAAAAGCAAGUAGCAUAAGAAUAUGAUAUUAAUUGUUACUGUUUAAUAUUAAUUGAUGUUGUUGGUAGUUUAAGGGAGUAAUAUUUGGUUGUAACUACUUCAGUGGAAUGAUUCUGAUGUUAUUUAGUAAUUUUAUUAAUCCUGAUUUGUUUGAAUAAGUUAUUUUCACUUUGAAAUUCCUUGUCGACGUACUCACACUAUGGUUUAAGACUUUCAGUAGUAUGUGGAACCUUUACACUACGAGAAAAAAUCGUUUUCAUAGCACUACAGUAUAGCGUUUUUUGUCUUUCUGGUUGAUAUACCCCUUAAUUUUAGAUAGCGUUUGUAUAUUUGGAAACGCUAUGAUAGAAUGGUAUAUUCGGAAACGCUAUGAUAGCCUAUUUUUAAUAGCAGAAUAUAAUGAAAUGCUAUAUUUAGCUUUUUGAAUCCCCAAACCCUAAACAAAUUUUUAAUCCCUAAACUAUAAAACACAACUUAAAACUCUAAUAUUCUCAUACUAUAACUUUAGAUCCUAAACAUAAACUCGAAAUUUACUCUUUUUAAUAUUAAUAUAUAACUUUCAAAACACAAGCCUUAAAUCUUCAAUCAAACUCUAACAAUAUAAAUCCAAUCCCUAAACCACAUACUUUAACAUAUAUCAUAAGAACAUUAAACCUCAGAUUUUAAAUAAAAUAUAAUUUUUAUAAUAUAUAUCUCAGACUAUGUAUAAUAUUUCAAAUUUACAUUAUAAAAUUCAAAAAUAAAAAUAAAACCAUUAAAUAAAAACAACACAAAAAAAUGAUUAUAGAUAAAUGAACAGAUAAUUCUUAUUAGUUUAAUUUUGGGCCUUUGAUUAGUUUUGAUCCAAAGGCUAAAAAUCACUCUUUUGUGAUCUUCCUCCUUCGUUCUUAUUGGUCCAUUCUUCAAAAUUUGGAUUAAUUUUCUGACCAUUGAUUAUUUGUAAUCCAAUGGCCAAGAAUUCAUCUUUUCAUUUUCCUUCUUCUAGAGUUUAUCGAUCUCUUCCUCUCUGUAUCAUUCCCUUCAUCUCCCUCACUGUCUCAAACACACACACACGAUUCAUGUAACACACAUCUCCUUUCUCUGUAAUACUCUCCUCACACACACACGAGUCUGAAGGUGGAGUCGAACCCAGAACCCAGCGACCGCGGAUCUGAAGAUGCUUGACCACCGCCAUCUCCCCCUUUCGCCACCGUCUCUCUCACCACCACUGAUGUGGUAGUCAUUGGGUUUGCGGCUAGGAGGCGAUGGAGAAGCUGGUGGUCGUGAAGAGAGGUGGUGGUCAUGGGGCUUGCGGCGAGGAGGCGACGGAGAAGUGGGUGGUCGGAGCAGAGUGGUGGUCAUGGGGUUUGCAGCGAGGAGGAGACGGAGAAGUUGGUGGCCGUGAGAAGAGGUUGUGGUCAUGGGGCUUGCGGCGAGGAACGGAGAAGUUCGUGAGGAGGCUGGCUCAAGAAGAUUAGGUUUUGAUUAGGUUUAAUUAAAAUUAGGUUAGAUUAGAUUUAAUUUUUAAAACAUUUGGUUUAGUGUUAAGUGUAAACCGAUUCUUAUCUUUUAUCAAAUGUAAUUUAUAUUGUUUAAUAAAAAAUAAUUUAUUAUGUUUUUAA